rnacentral:rRNA from 1 species
AGAGUUUGAUCCUGGCUCAGGAUGAACGCUAGCGGCAGGCCUAAUACAUGCAAGUCGAACGGCAAGUUGAGUAGCAAUACUUGACCUAGAGUGACGUACGGGUGCGUAACACGUAUGCAACCUACCCAAAACAGGAGUAUAGCUCGGGGAAACUCGAAUUAACCCUCCAUAAGAUAGUAGCAGAGCAUUCUGCAGCUAUUAAAACUCAGGUGGUUUUGGAUGGGCAUGCGUUUGAUUAGCUAGUUGGUAGUGUAACGGACUACCAAGGCGAUGAUCAAUAGGGGAACUGAGAGGUUGAUCCCCCACACUGGCACUGAGAUACGGGCCAGACUCCUACGGGAGGCAGCAGUAGGGAAUAUUGGUCAAUGGAUGCAAGUCUGAACCAGCCAUGCCGCGUGCAGGAAGAAGGCCUUCUGGUUGUAAACUGCUUUUGUCAGGGGAUAAAAAAUUCCUUGCGAGGAAUAUUGAAGGUACCUGGCGAAUAAGCCACGGCUAACUACGUGCCAGCAGCCGCGGUAAUACGUAGGUGGCGAGCGUUGUCCGGAUUUAUUGGGUUUAAAGGGUGCGUAGGCGGUCCUAUAAGUCAGUGGUGAAAUAUCUCAGCUCAACUGAGAGGGUGCCAUUGAUACUGUAGGACUCGAGUGAAUUUGAGGUAAGCGGAAUUGACGGUGUAGCGGUGAAAUGCUUAGAUAUCGUCAAGAACACCGAUAGUGAAGACAGCUUACCAAGCUUCAACUGACGCUGAGGCACGAAAGUGUGGGGAUCAAACAGGAUUAGAUACCCUGGUAGUCCACACUGUAAACGUUGAUUACUCGCUGUUGGCGAUACACAGCCAGCGGCUAAGCGCAAGCGAUAAGUAAUCCACCUGGGGAGUACGCCGGCAACGGUGAAACUCAAAGGAAUUGACGGGGGUCCGCACAAGCGGUGGAGCUUGUGGUUUAAUUCGAUGAUACGCGAGGAGCCUUACCUGGACUAGAAUGCCCUUGACCGAUCCAGAGAUGGAUUUUUCCGCAAGGACAAGGAGCAAGGUGCUGCAUGGCCGUCGUCAGCUCGUGCCGUGAGGUGUUGGGUUAAGUCCCGCAACGAGCGCAACCCUUAUCUUUAGUUGCCAGCACGUAAUGGUGGGGACUCUAAAGGGACUGCCUGCGCAAGCAGAGAGGAAGGAGGGGAUGACGUCAGGUCAUCAUGGCCCUUACGUCCAGGGCUACACACGUGCUACAAUGGCGUAUACAAAGUGUUGCAAGCCAGCGAUGGUGAGCCAAUCACAAAAAGUACGUCUCAGUUCGGAUUGCAGGCUGCAACUCGCCUGCAUGAAGUUGGAAUCGCUAGUAAUCGUGCAUCAGCAAUGGCGCGGUGAAUACGUUCCCGGACCUUGUACACACCGCCCGUCAAGCGAUGGAAGUCGGGAGGACCUGAAGACAGUAGCUGUAAGGCGCUGUUUAGGGUUAAACUGAUGACUGGCGCUAAGUCGUAACAAGGUA